UACAGAGGGUGCAAGCGUUAAUCGGAAUUACUGGGCGUAAAGGGCGCGUAGGCGGCCAACUAAGUCAGACGUGAAAUCCCUCGGCUCAACCGGGGAACUGCGUCUGAUACUGGAUGGCUUGAAUUCGGGAGAGGGAUGCGGAAUUCCAGGUGUAGCGGUGAAAUGCGUAGAUAUCUGGAGGAACACCGGUGGCGAAGGCGGCUUUCUGGUCCGAUACUGACGCUGAGGUGCGAAAGCGUGGGGAGCGAUCCGG
rnacentral:rRNA from 1 species